rnacentral:rRNA from 1 species
AGUCGACGGUGACCGGGCUUCGGCCUGGGGAUCAGUGGCGAACGGGUGCGUAACACGUGGGCAACCUGCCCCAGACUCAGGGAUAACCCCGGGAAACCGGGGCUAAUACCCGAUACUCCGAUCGAACCACAUGGCUCGAUCGGGAAAGCUCCGACGGUCUGGGAUGGGCCCGCGGCCUAUCAGCUUGUUGGUGGGGUAACGGCCUACCAAGGCGACGACGGGUAGCUGGUCUGAGAGGACGACCAGCCACACUGGAACUGAGAUACGGUCCAGACUCCUACGGGAGGCAGCAGUGGGGAAUCUUGCACAAUGGGCGAAAGCCUGAUGCAGCGACGCCGCGUGGGGGACGAAUGCCUUCGGGUUGUAAACCCCUUUCGGCAGGGACGAAGCGCAAGUGACGGUACCUGCAGAAGAAGCUCCGGCUAACUACGUGCCAGCAGCCGCGGUAAGACGUAGGGAGCGAGCGUUGUCCGGAUUCAUUGGGCGUAAAGCGCGCGUAGGCGGUUUGGCAAGUCGGAUGUGAAAUCCCGAGGCUCAACCUCGGGACUGCAUCCGAUACUGCCCGACUAGAGGUAGGUAGGGGAGAUCGGAAUUCCUGGUGUAGCGGUGAAAUGCGCAGAUAUCAGGAGGAACACCGGUGGCGAAGGCGGAUCUCUGGGCCUUACCUGACGCUGAGGCGCGAAAGCUAGGGGAGCGAACAGGAUUAGAUACCCUGGUAGAAUCACUAGUGAAUUC